rnacentral:rRNA from 1 species
GAUGAACGCUGGCGGCGUGCCUAAUACAUGCAAGUCGAACGCAUUGUGGUUGAAAUGAUAUGAAGAACUUGUUCAGAUUUGAUUUUCAACAUUGCAAUGAGUGGCGAACGGGUGAGUAACACGUGGGAAACCUACCUCUUAGCAGGGGAUAACAUUUGGAAACAAAUGCUAAUACCGUAUAAUAAUUAAAACCGCAUGGUUUUAGUUUAAAAGAUGGUCUUGCUAUCACUAAGAGAUGGUCCCGCGGUGUAUUAGUUAGUUGGUGAGGUAAUGGCUCACCAAGACAAUGAUACAUAGCCGAGUUGAGAGACUGACCGGCCACAAUGGGACUGAGACACGGCCCAUACUCCUACGGGAGGCAGCAGUAGGGAAUCUUCCACAAUGGACGAAAGUCUGAUGGAGCAACGCCGCGUGUGUGAUGAAGGGUUUCGGCUCGUAAACACUGUUGUAAGAGAGAAUGACAUUGAGAGUAACUGUUCGUAAUAGUGUGACGGUAAG